rnacentral:lncRNA from 1 species
CAGUACCAUCUAACUGUUUAGUAAAAGGUGUUGAAUACAAGUCUUGAAAGCUCACUUCUCAGAUCUACUAAUUGCAGCCUAGCUAUUGUAGUUUUGUAGAUGUUGGGCUGAAUGAAAUAGGCCAUAUGGAGUGAUGGCAUCUAUACAAAGUCAUUUGCAUAUAGUAAAGGCAAGCAAACACUGAGUAUUUACAGAGAAGACAUUAGGAAGUAAAAUUAUCCUACCACUGUAAAUUCCCUCAGUCCAAGCCUAUAGAGCAGAAGUAACUCUGCACUUUUGAAAGUUAAAUAAAAUUGUAUAGCAAAUGACUUUUUUGCACCUGUUGUUCUUAGAAACAGAAAACAGAAGUGCCUGCUCUUUCCUAAUCACCAUCUGACUUGCCAUAUUUCCUCCUUCCUCUGGUUUGUAUUCUUCCUUAACAGAAAGGAAAGCAUAUGUUCUGUUUAAAAUAAUAGUCUGUUAACCCUUGCUAAUGCAAAGGAGGAGAGCACCCUCUCUCACCCUCUGUGGUUUUCUCACAGUUCUUGGCUUCUGUCAAGGUGAAAUAAUCGCGAACAAAAUGGGAUGUCUGGUACAAGGAAUUUUUGACUUACAGGUGAAGACAGUAAAUACUGCAAUAAAUAGCUUAUAGCACUACUUACUCUCAUUUUAUAACACUGAUUUUUUA